CGGCCGCCAUCAUGCUCUAGUUUCCCCUUCGUCUCUCCCGGUCCGCGACCGAGGAAGCGGCCUCUGGGAUGCUAAGGGGGUGUGUCCCCGAAUGAUUGGCGCAGGCAGCUCAGCCAAUCCUAGCUCGUCAAACGGGAAGCGCUUGACCAAUGAGGGGUGACGGCCGCGGCGAGGAAUUGGAGGGGCGGAGCGUAAUGUUGACGAGCACAAAAACUAGCCAGUGACAGCCUGAGGCAUCCUCCCUACAGCCAAUAGAGUGAGGCUGCGGGCAGGCCUCCGAGUGUUUGUGUUGUGGUUUUGGGGGAGGGAGGCGGAGGGGAAAGUUUGUUUAUUUUGUUUUUAGUUUCUGGGGUCCCCGUGUUUCUGGGAGGUGAAGCGGGCGGGACUGACCCCCGCUCUCCUCAGUGCCCCCUACUACGUCGCCUCCACAGCCAGCGGAGAAGCGGGGACCGCGCACAUCGCAGCGCAUCGCCUCACAGCGGAACGCCGCGCACUCGGAACCGGCACGGCUCGGCGGGUUUUGGUUUUUGCACUGAAUGUAGUCUAGAUUCAUCUUCACGGGUGUGUGUUGCCCCAGGGUACUGUCAAAGGCAGUAUUUGUGUGUUUCUGCAGAGUUUUGCACAGAGUCUGUUCCCAUGCAAACCAAUGAGGGAGAAGUAUCAGAAGAAAGCGGUUCCAAGGUGGAACAGGAGGAUUUUGUAAUGGAAGGACAUGGCAAGACUCCACCUCCUGGUGAAGAAAGCAAACAGUGAGUCACACUUUAUUUAAAAAGGAUCUUAUUACAGAUCUUUAGAAGCACUUUGGUUAAACACGCUGAGAGCAUGUUUGCAGGAUGUAUAUGUUGAGCACAUUGUGGAACUCACCAGUUGCUUUGGUGGCUGUUAAUGCACUGCAUCUAUUUAUAGACUAACUGGAGGGACAAGAAGGUUGACUUUGUAGUUUUUCAUACUUGACUAAUCAAAAUUUAUGUUACACUUUAGCAAAGGCUUUAAGGCUCGGGAUGUUCCAAAUGGAACUAAUUCAGUCUGGUUGAUUUCCAAAGAAAGCAUAAAAUUGUAUAUCCUUUUCUUAGCAAUGUCUUUAUGAAGUGAUGAAAUUAAUAGGCUGUUUUCUUGCAUUCCAAGUGUGAAUUUAUUUGAAUAGUACUUCCUGACAUUCUAUUCCAUUGAGUUAUUUAUACUUUGGAUCUUUGUUUAAAUCACAAAUUGUUUCCCUAAAGGAAUAGGAAUUAUAAAUAAUGUAACUUAGCCAGAAUUCUAAAUACUUCAGGAUCUCUCCCUUCUUGACUUAAAAAGUGAUUAAGUUUUAAAUCUGAAAUUGGGAGUUCUCUGGGUAGCUUUUUGGUGGCAGUGAGUAGAAUUUUUUUGCUCUUGUCACAGAACUUGAAAAAUUGUGUUGCAGAGCAUACUGAUGUUUCAUAUGUUCUUUUAAAGAAAAAAUAGUUGAGACUGGAUUAAAGGACAGACAUAACUACUAAUUUUUAUUCAGACAGUAGUCUUCUAAAUUGAAUGGUUCAUUGAUUCAUGGAAGUUUCUGAAAAUCUGUGGAGAGAACUUCCUUUCUCUCACCUUUUUUAUUUUCUAGAAAAUAAUUUAGGUUUGAUUUGUCUUAUGACAAUUAUGUCUUCAAAAUCUUUAGGAAUGAAUGAUUCUGAAUAGCUAUGCUGUCACAUGGCCAGGUUCAUUAUAGGAGAAUGUUCAUCUCAAAUUUGUUGUGAAUGGAAACCAGGAUAUUUUUACAGCUGGUUUAAUUUGCUAAUGAGGCAGUUUUAAAAAUAGCUUACAAUAUAAAUCCUAACUUUGCUGUAUUUUGUCAAAUGUAUGAGCUGAUGAGAUGAAUUCAUCAUUUGCAAAUUAGAAUGCCAAACAUCUAGUCCCAGUGGAAUUAUAGGAAUGCUUCAGGUGCUUAUUUCUGCCCCUCUGCCUACUCCCCACCCCUACACUCCAGUCAGAAGUCUUCAUACUAUAAAAAUCACAACUCCCAUUGGACAAGUGUUUUGUGUGCACCAAGUACUUUGCUUGUUACAGUGUCUCCAUUUAAUUGGGGGAUUAGGGUAGAUAACUUGUCCAUGGUAAUGCAGCUUGAAAUGGAAGUUAGUAUUUGAACCCAGAUCUUUCUGACUUUAAAGUGUUUUUAUAAUAUCUUCUUAAACCCAAAUUCUUUGCCAACCUUGGGAACUGUGUUCCUGAAAAGUACUGUCAUUAGCAAAAUGCAGUUAUCAAGAUCAAAGUCUCAUGGAUAAGAGGGAGGCGGGGGAAACAAUGAAAAUGGCAUUAAGCCUAUUUUUAAAACACAGAUGAAAGUUCUGUUCCCUGGAGGGUAUCCAUUUCUCAAACAAACCAGACUCUGUCUUUCAAAAGCUGUUCCAGUAACCCCUCUCCUGAAUCAGCGCCUUGAGGUAUUCAGGAAACAUUGCUGGGGCAGAUUCUCCCACCAGUUUUGUGUUCUACAGACUGCACUUCUCUUAGAGAGCUUCAUGCAGCCCCAGCAGACCCGAAACGUCACGUGUCGCGAUCCUUACCAUUCUCCCUUGUUCUGUAUUCACAAGUCUAAUGCUGCCUUUUCACAGGUGAAUCCCGUUUUGUUUUUAUUUUUGUUUUUCUGGGCUCGGUCUGUUGUCAUACUCAAAAUAAUAAAGCAGAACUGGAUCUUUAUUAGGUGUUUUUCCUUUAGACCUCCCCACCUCUUCUGUGGGAGUGGGGAGCACAGGUGUGGCAUUCUUGUUUGAGGCAACAGAAAUAACUUUUUUUUUUUGUAUCUCCGAACUCUAGUCAGCAAAGGAUGAUUGAAUCCUGAACUGUAGAUCCUGAAUCAGAGAAAUUGUAGAUCCUGAAAGUAACACAUUGUUGAAUGACUUAAUGAAAUUCCCAUUCAUUCUUUUAUUUU